rnacentral:lncRNA from 1 species
GUUAUCUAUCCUACCAACAUCCCACCACCAUCUCUUUUGUGUCACAUGCACCUUUUCUCUCUUAUUUCUCUCUUCAUCCACCCAUUUUAAAAAAGAAUGAAUUAGAGAUUAGAGAGAGAAAGAUGAUGUUUUAAAGAGAGAAACAACAUGUCAUCAUGUUCAAUUAGAACACCAAGAACACACGCACAAGUGGGUGUUAGAGAGAAUCUUACUUAUCAACUCACAGGUGAUUGAAGAAUAAACCAUAAAGUAGCAAUCGUUCAACAAUCAUUAUUGUAUAUUUCUGACAAGUCCUUCCAUUUUGUUCUUGUCAUGUAUAAGACUUAAAGCUAGGUUCAAUGUAAAAGAAUAUAUAUAUGUUGUCAUGUAUAAGACUUAUGGCUACCAAGUUGGGUUCAAUGUAAAAAUAUAUAUAUGUUAAUGUAGUUUUUUUAUCUAUUAGUAACAUUGUUAAU